AUAAUACCGGAUAUCGUGGCCUUCCACAUGGGAGGUUGACGAAAGAUUUAUCGGUGGGGGAUGAGCUUGCGUCCGAUUAGCUAGUAGGCGAUGCAACGGACCACCUAGGCGACGAUCGGUAGCCGGCCUGAGAGGGCGAUCGGCCACAUUGGGACUGAGAUACGGCCCAGACUCCUACGGGAGGCAGCAGUAGGGAAUAUUGCACAAUGGGGGAAACCCUGAUGCAGCAACGCCACGUGUGGGAAGAAGCAUUUCGGUGUGUAAACCACUGUCGUGAGGGAAUAAUGCUUAAUUUUGGUUAAGUUGAAUGUACCUCGAAAGGAAGCACCGGCAAACUUUGUGCCAGCAGCCGCGGUAAUACGAGGGGUGCAAGCGUUGUUCGGAAUCACUGGGCGUAAAGGGAGCGCAGGCGGAGAUGCAAGCAGUCUGUACAAUACCGGGGCCCAACCCCGGACCUGCAGACUGGACUGUUUCUCUUGGAUAGUUCAGGGGCAAGCGGAAUUCCUGGUGUAGCGGUGGAAUGCGUAGAGAUCAGGAAGAACACCGAUGGCGAAGGCAGCUUGCUGGGGACUUAUCGACGCUCAUGCUCGAAAGUGCGGGUAGCAAACAGGAUUAGAUACCCUGGUAGUCCGCACUGUAAACAAUGCAUACUGGGUGUCCGGGGCUCG
rnacentral:rRNA from 1 species